rnacentral:rRNA from 1 species
AUUGAACGCUGGCGGCAGGCCUAACACAUGCAAGUCGAGCGAGCGGCGGACGGGUGAGAAAAGUAUGGGGACUGCCCGAUAGAGGGGGAUAACUACUGGAGACGGUGGCUAAUACCGCAUAGUGUCGGAUGACACAUAUUGGUUUAGCUGGUGGGUAAGGUAAAGGCUUACCUAGGCGACGAUCCCUAGCUGGUCUGAGAGGAUGAUCAGCAACACGGGGACUGAGAAAGGCCCCAACCUCCAACGGAGGCAGCAGUGGGGAAUAGUGCACAAUGGGCGCAAGCCGGAGGCAGCCCUGCGGCGGGGAUGAAGAAGGCCCUAGGGUUGUAAAGUACUUUCAGUCGGGAGGCGUUACCGACAGAGGAAGCACCGGCUAACUCCGUGCCAGCAGCCGCGGUAAUUC